UACGUAGGUGGCAAGCGUUGUCCGGAUUUACUGGGCGUAAAGAGCUCGUAGGCGGUUUGUCGCGUCUGCCGUGAAAGUCCGGGGCUCAACUCCGGAUCUGCGGUGGGUACGGGCAGACUAGAGUGAUGUAGGGGGAGACUGGAAUUCCUGGUGUAGCGGUGAAAUGCGCAGAUAUCAGGAGGAACACCGAUGGCGAAGGCAGGUCUCUGGGCAUUAACUGACGCUGAGGAGCGAAAGCAUGGGGAGCGAACAGG
rnacentral:rRNA from 1 species